AAUGAACGUUGGCGGCGUGGAUUAGGCAUGCAAGUCGAGCGAGAACCCGCAAGGGGGACAGCGGCAAACGGGGUAGUAAUGUGUCGGAACGUGCCCUCUGGACGGGGAUAGCGGCGGGAAACUGCCGGUAAUACCCGAUGAACUCGAGAGAGCAAAGGUGUGAUUCCGCCGGAGGAGCGGCCGACAUGGUAUUAGCUAGUUGGCGGGGUAACGGCCCACCAAGGCUGUGAUGCCUAGGGGAUGUGAGAGCAUGAUCCCCACCAUUGGGACUGAGACACUGCCCAGACACCUACGGGUGGCUGCAGUCGAGAAUCUUCGUCAAUGGGCGAAAGCCUGAACGAGCGACGCCACGUGCGGGAUGAAGGCCCUUGGGUUGUAAAGCACUGUCGAGGGGAGAAAGUGUAAAAGCUUGAUCUAUCCCUGGAGGAAGCACGGGCUAAGUUCGUG
rnacentral:rRNA from 1 species